rnacentral:snRNA from 1 species
GUGCUCGUUUUGGCAUCACAUAUACUAAAAUUGGAACGAUACAGAGAAGAUUAGCAUGGCUUCUGUGCAAGGAUGAAACACAAAUUCAUGAAGCAUUCCAUAUUUUU